rnacentral:rRNA from 1 species
GUCAGAGUUUGAUCCUGGCUCAGAUUGAACGCUGGCGGCAGGCCUAACACAUGCAAGUCGAGCGGAUGAAAGGAGCUUGCUCCUGGAUUCAGCGGCGGACGGGUGAGUAAUGCCUAGGAAUCUGCCUGGUAGUGGGGGACAACGUUUCGAAAGGAACGCUAAUACCGCAUACGUCCUACGGGAGAAAGCAGGGGACCUUCGGGCCUUGCGCUAUCAGAUGAGCCUAGGUCGGAUUAGCUAGUUGGUGAGGUAAUGGCUCACCAAGGCGACGAUCCGUAACUGGUCUGAGAGGAUGAUCAGUCACACCGGAACUGAGACACGGUCCGGACUCCGUACGGGAGCAGCAGUUUCGAAUCGUUCAC